rnacentral:rRNA from 1 species
AUACGUAGGGGGCGAGCGUUGUCCGGAAUGAUUGGGCGUAAAGGGCGCGUAGGCGGCCCGGUAAGUCUGGAGUGAAAGUCCUGUUUUUAAGAUGGGAAUUGCUUUGGAUACUGUCGGGCUUGAGUGCAGGAGAGGUAAGUGGAAUUCCCAGUGUAGCGGUGAAAUGCGUAGAGAUUGGGAGGAACACCAGUGGCGAAGGCGACUUACUGGACUGUAACUGACGCUGAGGCGCGAAAGUGUGGGGAGCACACAGGAUUAGAUACCCUGGUAGUCCACACUGUAAACGAUGAAUGCUAGGUGUAGGGGGUAUCGACCCCUUCUGUGCCGCAGUCAACACAAUAAGCAUUCCGCCUGGGGAGUACGGCCGCAAGGUUGAAACUCAAAGGAAUUGACGGGG